CUGAAAGUGGCGGACGGGUGCGUAACACGUAGGAACCUGCCCUGGAGCGGGGGAUAACCACGGGAAACUGUGGCUAAUACCGCAUGAGCUUGAAGUGACGGGAGUGCUUCAAGCAAAAUUCAGGUGCUCUGGGAGGGGCCUGCGGCCGAUUAGUUAGUUGGUGGGGUAAAGGCCUACCAAGGCGAUGAUCGGUAGCUGUUCUGAGAGGAAGACCAGCCACACGGGAACUGAGAGACGGUCCCG
rnacentral:rRNA from 1 species